rnacentral:rRNA from 1 species
UAGUCCACGCCGUAAACGAUGAUAACUAGCUGUCCGAACCCACAGGGUUUGGGUGGCGCAGCUAACGCAUUAAGUUAUCCGCCUGGGGAGUACGGUCGCAAGAUUAAAACUCAAAGGAAUUGACGGGGACCCGCACAAGCGGUGGAGCAUGUUGUUUAAUUCGAAGCAACGCGAAGAACCUUACCUACACUUGACAUACUCGUCGGGACUUUCAGAGAUGAUUGUCUUCGGUUCGGCCGGACGAUGUACAGGUGCUGCACGGCUGUCGUCAGCUCGUGUCGUGAGAUGUUUGGUUAAGUCCAGCAACGAGCGCAACCCCUAUCGUAUGUUACCAGCAUUUAGUUGGGGACUCAUGCGAGACUGCCGGUGUUAAGCCGGAGGAAGGUGGGGACGACGUCAAGUCAUCAUGGCCCUUACGUGUAGGGCUACAAACGUGCUACAAUGGCUACUACAGUGGGCAGCAAGGUCGCGAGGCCAAGCUAAUCCCAAAAAGUAGUCUCAGUUCGGAUAGGACU